GGGAUAUGUUGGGUGCUCAGAUCCAGGGAUAUAGGAUUUGAGGGGGUACCUGAUUGUGAAAUGUAUGUUUUGGGGUGUAAUGCAUGUAUGUUCUGAUCCUGAGAGAUAAUGUCAUUUGGAUGUGUACUUUGUAACAGUUUCCUCUCAGGUCCAGCAGGGAAUGCCCCUGGAAUAAGUUUUAGGAAACCCCUUGCAUGGGGAAUUACAUAAAAGGCAGUGUGUGGAUCCCUAUAAACCAGUUCAUCCCCAGCAUAGAGCCUCGUCUCGUAUGUGGGAGAAUGCUAUACCAGCUAUAUCACUUCUCUUAGGAUUGCUAUAAUCACUUGCUCUGUUAAGAGCUAUACCUGCUCUAGUCGCUUUGGAUUACACUUAUUGUGAAAUGACUACAGCAUCACUCACACUAG